UACGUAGGGUGCGAGCGUUGUCCGGAAUUAUUGGGCGUAAAGAGCUCGUAGGCGGUGUGUCGCGUCGGCCGUGAAAACCUGGGGCUCAACUCUGGGCGUGCGGUCGAUACGGGCAUCACUUGAGUUCGGCAGGGGAGACUGGAAUUCCUGGUGUAGCGGUGAAAUGCGCAGAUAUCAGGAAGAACACCCGUGGCGAAAGCGGCUCUCUGGAACGGUACU
rnacentral:rRNA from 1 species